AAUAAAACAAGUUAACCUACACGAAACCUAAACAGAAACCUGGAGAUUAGGGUGAGAUUCGUAUGACUGGUUUUCUAGAUCAGGUUUGGGAUGUGUUAUGCAUGUUUAGGGUGUAUGCAUGAUUAUUCCAUGUGGAACUUUGGAUAUUCAAGUGGGAGGAUGUUAGACUAGUGAAGUGUCUUGUCAGGUGAGUUAGUGAGCUUGUGGCUUGGGAUAGCAUGGAGGUGCUGUUCCUGACAGUGGUGCCUGGUGUUUCCUCUCUGAAUAAUAUGAGAUGGGGAAAGAUGAGAUGUGCCUCUAACCGCAGGAGGGAUGGC